GACGUAGGGCGCGAGCGUUGUCCGGAUUUAUUGGGCGUAAAGAGCUCGUAGGCGGCUUGUUGCGUCGACCGUGAAAACCCGCGGCUUAACUGUGGGCUUGCGGUCGAUACGGGCGGGCUGGAGUUCGGUAGGGGAGACUGGAAUUCCUGGUGUAGCGGUGAAAUGCGCAGAUAUCAGGAGGAACACCUGUGGCGAAGGCGGGUCUCUGGGCCGAUACUGACGCUGAGGAGCGAAAGCGUGGGGAGCGAACAGG
rnacentral:rRNA from 1 species